AGUUACAAGCCAAUUUUGGAAGCAGAACUCUUUUCAAAGGGCAUCCUCCUCUCUGCCUGCCAAUCAGAUCAAAGAAGCUCUGAACAGGCUGACCUGGGGCAGGACUGGUGAGAUGGCUCAGCAGGUAAAGGUGUUUGCUGCCAAGUCUGACAACAGAAAUUGACCCCCCCAGGACACACGUGUGGUAGAAGGAUCAUACACACCUCGAAGCCAAAGACCAAGUCUGUGCUGCUCUGGACGAGCUCUUCCAGGUACAAUAUGCUCCGUGAACUGUUGCCAGGGGAACAAACAUGAACUCUCAAAAAAACAUUUGAAACCACCCCACACCGAUUUGCCUCCUUUCUCGGC